rnacentral:lncRNA from 1 species
GUCCUCCGCGGCGGCUGCAUCAUGCUCGGCUACCUGAAAGACGCAGCGGCGACCGCGCAGGUGAUCCGCGGCGACGGGUGGUUCUACACGGGCGACGUCGCGGUCAUGCACCCGGACGGGUACCUGGAGAUCAAGGACCGGUCCAAGGACGUGAUCAUCAGCGGCGGGGAGAACAUCAGCAGCGUGGAGGUGGAGUCGAUCCUUUACGGUCACCCGGCCGUGGACGAGGCGGCGGUGGUCGCUCGUCCGGACGAGUUCUGGGGCGAGACCCCUUGCGCCUUCGUCAGCCUCAAGAGAAAGCAGCAGGAGAAGCAAGAACAGCCGACGGCGGAGGAGGUGAUCGCGUGGUGCAGGGAGCGAAUGCCGCACUACAUGGUGCCGAAGACGGUAGUGUUCGAGGAGGAGCUGCCAAAGACGUCCACGGGCAAGAUUCUGAAGUACGUGCUCCGCAGCAAGGCCAAACAGAUGGGCCCCAGGACCAGCAGCAGCCGUUUGUGACCGACGAUAUAUAUAUAUAUAUAUAUCAUAUAAUUGAGUGGCUUUACUUACGCAAAAUAAUAAGUAAAAACCAAAAAAAAAAAAAAAGAAAAAAAAGAAGAAGAAGAGAGAAUGCAUGUUGUUACUAUUUGGAAAAUGCUCUUGCAUACAAAUAAAUUAUGCCACUCGCUGGAUGUAUUUCUAUUUUGAAAUUAAUAGUCAUGUUUAUUUUCUUGUGAUUUAUACUUUUUCUAGUAUUGUCUCUAUUUGUAAGUAUAAUUUUACUGAUUAUGAUUAUUAUUGUUAUAUACAAAGACUGCUGAUGUGUUGACAAAUAUAAUACAUUUGUCUCUCAGAAGAAAUAUGUUUAAAAAUUUCUUCCCAGAGACUUGCUUCACACUCACUCGGGUCAAGUCUUCGCCAGUAAAUAAGUGGUUGGUAGUGUUUUUUUUUGGUAUUUUUUUAAAUGAAAAAUAGGGUAGCAUAACAAAUAAAAUAAAUGAAGCGGGCAGCAUACUACUAUCUCUUAAAAAAAAUAAUAAUAAUGAUAGAGAGAGCUUUGGUUGGUAUACAUAAAUUUAUAUAAGCAGCAUAUUUAUUAAUAAUUAUAUGGAGAGUUUUGAUUGGUAUACAUAAAUUUAUAUAAACAACACACUUAUUAAUAAUUAUAUGGAGAGUUUCGAUUGGUAUACAUAAACUUACAUAAGCAGCACACUUAUUAAUGUAUCUGCUGUACAUACGAACAAUNUGUUAUUUUUUUUUUUUUUUUUUUUUUUUUUUUGGCGUCAAAAGUAAUAAUAUCUAGAACGGACAAAUUAGGUGAAUUGAAAAAUAUUGAGCACCACCGAUCGUUUCUAGAGCAAGUGGCAAAGGAAUUGAUGGUUGAUAUCCGAGAUUCAAGUUUGAAUUCUAAUUGAUUCAUAUUUUCAGUUAAAUUUAUUUUUAAAUGAAAUAAACGAAAAAGGGUAGCGUACUAUCUAAAAGUAAAUGAUUCUUUUGAAAUUUAAAUAACGUUUUAGUUGUCUUUAUUGAUGAGGCCAUGAGGGCUGUGAUGUUUUUCUUUAUUAUUAUUAUUUUUUAUUUUUUAUAGCUAGGAAAAUAGUUUUAAGUGGGACUGUGGGACAGUGGAAGUGGAGUGAGUGACGGUUAUAUUGACCAAGUGGUGCUUUCUUACUGCAUGCGGAUGUCAAUGGACACGGGUAUCUAAAAUUUUAUCCGAAUUCGAACCCGAAAAAAACGGAUAUAUUCGAUGCUAAAUAGAUAUGAAUUCAGAUAUGGAUAUCAAAAAUAGAAACCUGACGGAUAUGGAUUUUGACUGUACCAGACCCAAAUCCGAACCCGAUUCGAAUCCGAAUUUAUUUUGUUCUAUAUAUAUAUAUAUAUAUAUAUAUAUAUAUAUAUAUUCUUAGUCUAUGAUAUAAUAUUAUUUAUUUAUUUAUUUUAUUAUAUAUAGAGGGUAACAAUAACAAUGUUAUGAUAUGGGCAAGUGAAUAGAAAUGUCGAUAUGGGAACCACAUGCAUGUGAUGAUGUGAGACACAUUUUUAUACAUAAAGAGAAGUAUAAAUUUUCAAAUCAAGGUCUAGUUUGAUACUAUGGUGAUUAAAAUCACUUUUCAUAUUUUAAAAAUUUUGACUUUAAUAGAGUUUCUGCUUUUUUCUUCAAUAAUAUAAAAUUAUGGUGGUCAAAACUAUUGUGGUGGAACGGCAAAAUAUUUAGAAUAACUGCAUUAUGGCCAAUUUGCAUAAAAAAUCCACUUAUUUUGGGCUUUUGCAAAACUGGACUAUCUUUUUCGUUUUUGUAGAUUCGGUCCGUUUUUUCAGCAAAUUAACCAAAAUACUCUUAUUACUUUUUCUCUUUCCUCUUUCUCUCUUCUUUUGCACUGUUUUUCCUCUUGUUGCACCAUUUUUUCUCCUGUUACACUAUUUUUUAUCUUAAACUGCACCCCUUUAAGAGAUAUAAAAAGGUAUAAGGGUGUCUCCGCUCCGUCUCCGCCGCUCUCUGGGAAGAGAAAGAAAAAAGAACGAGAGAAACAAAGAGGAGAGAGAAAGAGGAAAGAGAAAAAAGUAUAAGGGUAUUUUGGUCAGUUUGCUGAAAAAACGGACCGAAUUUGCAAAAACGAAAAAGGUGGCCCAGUUUUGCAAAAGUCCAAAAUAAAUAGAUUUUUUAUGCAAAUUGGCCCUGCAUUAUUGGUUCCCAACAUUUUACCUUUUUUUUAUUUUUUAUUUUGGCCCCCAAACUUGCGUCUAAUCAUGUUAAACCGAGUCUCGCUACCCUAAAUAUUAUUCUUUACAUCUACAAUCUUCUCGAUCACGCAUAUGAUAUCUGCUGUCACUUUUAGAAUAUUUAGGCUUAGUUUGGUAUUGAGGUCUAUCUGACGCUAUUAGAUAAAAUGGAGUCGAGGAAAAAGUAUAUAGGGAUAUACUUCUGCGUUCUCCGGUGGGACUGCAGAAAAUAUAUCGUAACCGAUUCAUCGCGAUAUGCGGAACGCAAUAUUACGUAAGGAAACAAAAGUAUUUUUCCAACGUACUUUCUCACCGCACGUAAUGCAAUCUCCCCGCAAUCCCAAACGAAGCCUUAGUAUUCUUAAUAGCAAGUCCGACGUAUCACUAAAUUUUCGUAAACAAACUUAAAAAAAUUAUCAUCAGAAUUAAUUCAUAAACCUGAUCUAUACACGUAGAAGUAUUUUAUUGGAGUUGACAUAGUCUACUUUAUCAACGUAAGAAAAAACAAUUAAAUAUUUGAGAUCCCACCAAAAUGAAAUGCAAAGCUUAGAAAUCUAGUAGCCAAAACUAAAAGAUCAAGCACGAAAAGUUCAAAAAAUAAUAAUAAUAAAGAAAAUAAAGAUUAGCGACAAAUAGUGUAAUUAACCUUUUAAUCUAUGUUUGUUCUUUGACUAUUAUGUCACGCUACCAUGUUUUUCAAAAAAGAAAGAAAAAAACUCUAUGCUACUACAUAGAUGGGUAGUUAUUAAAAUGCAAUAAAGGUCACAUUUUUCAUCAAGAUUACGAGAUUAUUAGGUGCAAUAGUGUAAAGCGGGGGGUCAAGUAACAUGGAACGGGGAUUCAAAAAUAAUAACCUAAGAUUUCGUUUUUUCUUUUUUUAAAUCUUUUAAGCUAAAUAUUAGGUGCAAUAUUUUUUAUUUUUUAGAGAGAUAAAGUGUAAAUUUUUAAAUGAUAGGGAGAGAAAGUGAAAAAUUAAAUUUUGCUAGAAGGAUUUUCAGUAAUUUAGCCUUUUAUUUUUUUAUUUUUUUAAAAAAAAAGAAAUAGAUGAAAUGUUGCCUUUAUAUUUCGACUAAUAUUAUAAAAUAAGUAAAGUUACCAGCACAUUUGUCACGUCCCGGAUUACAGCGGAAACCCGGGUUACGUCAACAGAUCCGCCGCAUGCAUAAGGAUACACCUUAUACAUACGAAGCGUCAACAAAAUUAACUAAAAUCUAAUAAUAAUAGGUAUCAGAGAAAAAUAAAACUAUAUACUAUAAUAACACUGUAACGAUUUACAAUCAUCAUCACACUGGUCUUCAAAAUGGUACAAUAUUUCUGACCACUCCAAGUAUCAAAACACUGUAUAGGCUGCUCACUAAUAGGUGGUCCAACUAUACACACAAGAAGGGUAGGAGAUACUAACUAUCCACGAUCCCCUUAUCUCGACAGUCGCUGGUGCUGAAGGCUUUGAAAUAAAAUAUUAAAUAAGAAGGUAUGAGAACUAUAAUCAAUAGUUCCCAGUGGAUACGAUCAUCAAUGUCGGCGAUCUACACCACGAGGUCUAUAAGAAGCAGAAAUAGUAAAUACUGAGCAAUAUGAAGGAACAGAUAUUAAUAGGAAUAAUUGCUGAAAAUAACUGCUACUAUCAUAUCUCUACAAUAUAGCUGGAAUUGUAAAUUAUGUUUUGCAUGCAUUAAUUAGAGAUUAAAUAAAAUAUUACAAUAAUGCUCAAUCAUAGUGACCGACUCAACAGUCAGGUCUAGCCUGCGCCACCUCGUGUCCACCACCCACCUAUAAUGGUCCGCUACCACGCAGGCUACUGUUUGCCCCAUGCCAUAAUAAUAUCUCAUAACCCAACCUCCGGAGUGGUACUGGCGGGACGCUACCCCAACCGAGUAUAGUAUCACUGUCAAACUCAAAAUAGCAUGCAGGCUGUGAUCAAAUGCGAUGAUCAAACAGAUCAUGAUAAUACUGUUAUACUGUGCAAAAUAUAGUUAUACUCUACACUAUCUGUAGCUGUCUAUUGACUUUUAGAAAAAUAUCACAUAUAUAUGUGUCUCAAUUUAUUAUAUUGGUAGGUAUCAAAAUAUCACUAUUUAUCUUAACUAUGUCAACAGUUCAUCUCACAGGCUAAAUAAUGUAAUAUGGAUAUAGAAAUUAGUCCGCCAAUUUUGAUAAUACGGAACCCACCUAUUACGCAAAUCCAAUGAAAUGAACAGUAGACAGGAUAGUAGCCACAACACUCUAAGAUAGCUCGAAAAUCUCUCGUCAAAAUUACGCGAAAUCCACUCCAUGAAGUCGAAAAGGUAAAAAUACACGUGCGCGCACUCGACUCGCUCGUUCGCUCGCCUCGCUCGCUCGCUCGUAAGAAUGAAACCAAGUUUUUCCUUCUUCCCUGUUAAUUAAUUUUGUGCUCAAAACCUCCCUCCCCCCCUCUCUCUCUCUCUCUCUCUCUCUCUCUCUCUCAAACUUAGCAACAAAAAAGAAAAUGAUAAGGAUGGGGAAUAGCACGUGGAUUCUACCGCUUAAUAAAGUAAAAUUGCCAACAAGCCCCUCUAUAACUAAGUAUUUGUUGCUAGCCGAACGUUCUCAUCCUUGACCUGGUCAAAGAUCUCCCUCGGAAAAGUGCGCAGGGAUGUGGAACGACUACGAUUAGUGACCCUCGAAGUUUGCGCUCUUCGAUUAGAUCAAGCGAUUCGGCUAAUGAGGGAUCGGAUUAGCUGAGUUCGAAACUUUUACUGUAAAAUCAGUUCGGCUGGAUGAGCCGAAUCUACGGACUGUGUGAAAACUGGGGUUGGCCGAAGGAACCGAAUGAAUGGAAAACACAGUAGUUGGUCGGCCGAAAAAGCUGAAUUACCUUUAUAUAUAUUGAAUUUGACUGGUGGAAAAAGAACAAGGGUCGUGUGUGCCUGAAGGCAUACAGACUCGGUUGAUCUAAUCUAAUUCUACUCCUAGGAAAAGCAGUAAAUGCUGGAAAGUAAAGGAUUACAAGUAGACUACUCUUAAAAAAUGCAGAGAAAUUGUAAAGAAAAUAAAGGUGGUCUUCUAUUCUCGGAAAAAAAUACCUCUUUCUAGGACGUUAUUGGCUUAUUUAUAGAUCGCCUUUGUUGAUCAGUUAUUGUCUAUUCAUGAUCGGCCACUACUCUUGUUUUUCCGGGCCACUUUCAACCGAUCAGAACCGCUUGUGUAACCGCUCGCGGCUACUGUAACUUUACUUAAUUUGUGCGGUGAUUACUUAGAAUUUCUUUCGAUACUCUUGGUGCACAAUAAAAUCCUUAUCAUUAAAGAACAGUGUUGAGUGGAGUACCGAUGCACCACUUGGAUGUGUCUUAUUGGCCCAACAGUAUUCAACUUUAGUCGUCUACAAUAUAAAUUUUGAGUUUCAAAGUCCGUUUUUACGUCUAUUUUGCGCAAAACGUUUCCAAUUCAAUCAAGCAUAAACUUAUACUGUAACUUUGCCAAUUUGUUAAGGUUCAAUAUAUCAUAACAUUGCAGCGGACUAAUAUUAUAAAAGACAGAAGAUUGAUAAAAUAAAAAUUUUUAAAUUUUUUAACUUACAUGAGACAUCAAUAAAUAUAAAUAGUAUGAGAAAAAAAAAAAGAAAAAACUUUAAAUAUUACCCCUAUGGUUUUGCACUUUUUUAUUUUAAUACCCUAUAAUUUAAAGUGUAUCAAUUUAGUACCCUGUAAUUUUUUUUUUCUUUUCGUCACUCCCUAUGUUAACUUUUUCGUUAAAUCAUAUACAAAAAACUUUAGAUUGAAUAUCACGUUAGUACCUUUUAGCUUUAACUUUGUUACUGAUUUAACUAAAUAAAUUAGUGGAGAAGAUAAUAAAAAAUUAAACCACGUGGUAUUAAAGUGAAAAAAUAUGAAACCACUGGAAUAGUAUUUAAGUAUUUCCCAAAGAAUAUGAAGAAAUUUUAUUUUACUUGUUUUUCGUAAACGCAUUAAUUGAAAAGUGAACGGGUAGAAAGAUAAAAUAUCGGACAGAGAUGAGGGUGAAAAGACGAAGCAUCAAAAAGUAAGAAGGGGAGAAAGCAAUAGUGAAAAAAGGAACUGCAAAUUCUAUGAAAAAAGAUAUAAAAUAUAAAAAAAAAGUUCCUCUGUACCCUUAUAAAAUCAUUAAUUUCAUAAAUAUCUAUCUAAAAAUUAGAAUAUCAUAUAUACCCCGCCAAAUUUGAAAUACUUUCAAAAAUAACCCUACAAUCAAAUUUCUAUCUAAAUUAAAAUUAAUUAGUAUUUAAAUUCCAAAUUUACCACUAUUAUGUAUUCAAUAGUCAAUUAUUUUAUUUCAUAAAUAUUCUCUAUUAUAUUUAAAAAUUAAGUAAGUAAAAUUCAAUUGAUUUUAAUUUAAAAAAAUUAUUGAUUUUAAUUAAAAAUAAAUAUUUCUAUUUGGUAUAAAUUGUAGUUCAAUUAGCAAUGAAGCAAAAUAAAAUAAAAUUUAACUAUAUUUUAUACCAAGUAGAUAUAUUUAUUGUUAAUUAAAAUGAAUUUUUUUUCAAACUAAAAUCAAUUGAAUUUUACUAAAUUUUUAGUCUGGAAGAGUUUAUUAAUUUUGAAAUAUUAGAGAGGUAAAGUUGGAAUUUAAAUAUUAAUUAACUUUAAUUUUGAUGGAAAUUUGAUUGUAAGGUUAUUUUUAAAAAUUUUUCAAAUUUGACGGGAUAUACAUGAUAUUUUAAAUUUUAGAUAAAUAUUUAUAAAAUUGUCCCUCCAAUAUAGUAGAUUGGUCGGGCACAUGAAGAACGUUACAAUGCUUUUUUUUGGGAAGUCAAAAAACAGGACAAGAAGUGGGUGGGUUUCUUGGCCGGAAUUUUAGGGGAAAGUGAGCAAGAGAAUAUAGAAAAAAACAUAUAUAUAAAAAUAAUAUAUUACACACAUGUAUAUUUGAAUCAUUUUAUCCCGUUGAAUUUAUAAGCGUGACACAUCGGUUAUUAAAAUAAUAAUCUUUGAGACUAUUUUGAUCACUUGUAAAUAAUAUUAAAAAAUUAUGAGAUUUGGUUUGUAAAUAGUUCUAACACAGUAAAUUAUGUCAAACGAAAUCGAUCGUCAAAUCGAAUAUUUUAUUAUUGAAAACAAAUUACAAAUACGGAGGCCUGCAUAGCUUUAAAAGCACGAGACAUAUUCAUACAUUAAUACAUUAACUCUUAUCUUUGAGGGUCAAAGUACCUCGCACCUCAUAAUUUGAGGAGCAAUAUAAUUUAGCCUUCAUAAAUUGAUUUAGUUUAAUUCAUAAAUAAUUUUAAUGAAUUCCAUCAUUUGGAUUAAUUUUAAUUAGUUUAAUUAAUUUUAAAUAAAUAAAUUUUAGUUACCUAUAAAAAAAUUAAAGCUAGAAGACUUGCUAAUGAACUAACAAAAAAUAAUAGGAAUAAUUUUAAGAAUGACCAUUCGUGUGGUUCUAAUUUUAUCAAUACCCCUUUGAAGUUUAAGCAUAACCAAUAUUCUUAUAAACAUUAGGAAUAUUCUAAUAUUCCUAAUAUAAUAUGUGUAAAUUAAUGAGUAGUUAUAAAAUUUCCUUUUUAUCCCCCAAUAAAUUAAAAACUUAGCAAACUUAUCAAUAAAGUAAGCAAUUUUUUAAAUUUUAAUGAGUUUUUUUAAGGCUAAGCAUACUUAAUUAAAAAGUUACACCAUAAUCUCUAAUAUAUAUAGCUUUUGUAAAACAACGUAUAUUUAUAAAUUGAAAAUUUUGAUGGGAUAUAUUAUAUAUGAAAUUUAGGAAGUUGAGAGGGUACAUUGAAAUUGCUUCCAAAAAUAGAUAAAUUUGCAAAAAUAAAAAUAAGAAAUGAGUUAGGCUCCUAUGCUUUGAAAAGUACGGAGGCCUCCGUACUUGUAAGUUGUUUUCGAUGAUGGAGUAUCCGAUUCGGCGAUUAGUUUCGUUAGACAUAAUUUAUGUUAUUGGAACUAUUUAAAAACCAAAUUUCAUAAUUUUUUGACUUCAUUUGUCUGGUAAACGAACGGGUAGACUCAAAAUGAACGGCUGAAAAUAAAAAUUUAAAAAAAAAUAGUGAUAAAAUAUUCAAAUUUCAAAUCGGAAGUAUUAUUCUUACUCUUAAUGUUAUGUAGAAAUUUCUAUUAAGAUUUCAUGUAAUUUGAAUUCUUCUACACCGUUAAACUUUAAAACAUGCCACAUCGGCCAUUAAAAUAGUUAUUUUUGAGACUCUUUAAUCACUUGGUAAAUAAUGUAAAAAAAUUAUGAAAUUUAGUUUCUAAAUAAUUCUAAUAAUGUAGAUCAUGCCUAAUGAAACCGAUCGUCGAAUCAGAUGCUUUAUCAUAAAAAAUAAUAUACAAACACAAAAAUCUCCAUAUUUUUGAAAGUAUAUUUAGUUUUAUAUAUUUGAACAGAAGCUUCUAAAUCUUUUUAUUUUUUUCUUGUGUCUUUUUAGCAGUUAAUGUUUCUACACGGCAUCUCCACCUGUCGUUUUCUCCAUCACCCUUCCCCUUCAUUAGUUUUAUAUUUAACCCCAUUUCAAUUAUUAUUAGUUUAUAUUAAAAUUUAUGUUAUUAUUAUUCUAUAUUUACAUCUAAAAUUUUAAAGUGUACAGAUAUAGCGCACAGGAUUUUCGAUUGUGACUCAGUCCAAGCAAUCUUUCGUUAUUUCAAAAAUGACUCGAACCAACUCAAUCUUUCAUUAUUGCAAACGUGACCCCACUCAAUCUAAUCUUUUACCACAUGAGAGAAUAUUGAUUUUUUUAAGUCAAUAAAUUCGCCUUCACCUUUCGUACUAUCAAACUGAAAAGAUCGAUUGUAGUACAAAUUGUAUUACAAAUUGUAAUCGAGAGAUCGAGAGUACGUCGAAACAAACAAAAAUUAGCUAAGGAUUUAAGAAAAAACGCACCUCCGGUACACCACUUAAUAGGUAUGAAAUGAUUAGUGUCACAAUCAAGGUAAUCAAAUCAUAUUCAAUAAUCCACCAUUAAUGAAAUUGAAAAAGUUUACUAUUUAUAUUCAGCAAUUUGAUUGGUUAGAAAUAUCAAUACGACCGCAACCCUCUAGCCAUAGAUAAUUUUUAUUUAAUAGUCAUAAAUUUAAUAACCUCUAAUAAAAAUCAUAAAAACAAGCAAUACUCAUACUUUUCUUUUCUUUUCUUUUCUUUUCUUUUUUUUUGUCGCAUUUUUAUUGACUCCAAAGUCCACUGCCCAUGCCCACCGUGGUUCUAUUAUAUAUAAUAUACAACAUCACAAUACACGAACCCCCUUAUCAUCUUCAUCAUCAUCAUCAUCUCCUCCGCCUCUUCCAACAGAGAGAGAGAUCGCCAUGGAUGAGCUCGGGGCGAACGCGGCGAAUAGCGCGCCGUUGACGCCGCUAGGGUUUCUGGAGCGCGCGGCGUUGGUGCACGGGGAUCGGGCGUCGGUGGUGUACCGCGACACGGUCUACACCUGGGACCAGACCCUGCGCCGCUGCCUCCGCCUCGCCUCCGCCCUCGUCUCCCUCGGCAUCUCCCCCGGCGACGUCGUACGUACUUACUUACUCUCCCCUAUUCGUUUCGCUUCUCCUUAAUUUGUUGAUUCGAUGGUUCCCUCGAUUGCGAACACGCCCCCCUCCCCCACCCAAAAUCCCAUCUUUGUCUAUAUUUCCACGUUCCCCCAAACCACACCUUUUCCCCUUGUUCCUCCACUUUCAAGAUCUCAAACUUUUCCCGCCCCAAUUUCAUCCCCAGAAUCGCAAAAUCCCAUCUUUUUUGUCGUUCCCCCGACCCCGAUCUCUCAAUAUCUUGUUUUUUUUUUUGUUUUGGUUUGCUACAGGUCUGUCUUUUCCCAACAAAAAUCUCACCUUUCUCCCAAUUCCACCCCCAAUUCCGUCUCUUCUCUCCCCUGCUCUCCGCAUCUGUUUAAUCUAAUCUAAUCUAAUCCAAAAUACUUGAAUUGAGUUAGAAUUGAAUCGAAUUGAAUUGAAUUGAUGAUGAUGGACAGGUGUCUGUGUUGGCGCCGAACAUACCGGCGAUGUACGAGAUGCACUUCGGCGUGCCGAUGAGCGGCGCCGUGCUGAACACCAUCAACACCCGCCUCGACCCCCGCACCGUCUCCGUCCUCCUCCGCCACUCCUCCUCCAAGCUCGUCUUCGUCGACCCCCUCUCCCUCCCCAUCCUCCUCUCCGCGCUCCCCCUCCUCCCCGCCUCCCACCCCCCUCCCCUCGUCGUCCCCAUCGACGACCCCUACGAGCAGGAACAAGCCCCUCCGCUGCACUCCUUCCCCACCACCUACGAGAGGCUCCUCGAGGAGAAGGGCGACCCGGGGUUCCAGUGGGUGCGGCCGCGGAGCGAGUGGGACCCCAUGGUGCUCAACUACACCUCGGGGACGACCUCGGCGCCCAAGGGCGUGGUGCACUGCCACCGCGGCCUGUUCCUGAUCACGGUCGACUCGCUCGUGGACUGGUCUGUGCCGCCGCACCCGGUGUUCCUCUGGACGCUGCCCAUGUUCCACGCCAACGGCUGGUCCUUCCCCUGGGGCGUCGCCGCCGUCGCCGGCACCAACGUCUGCCUCCGCCACCGCUGCACCCACAUGUGCGGCGCCCCCGUCGUCCUCAACAUGCUCGCCAACUCCCCCCCCUCCCCCGACUCCGACUCCCCCGACUCCGCCCCCGUCAACGUCCUCACCGCCGGCGCGCCCCCGCCGGCCGCCGUGCUCCACCGCGCGGAGAAGCUCGGGUUCCGCGUCAGCCACGGGUACGGCCUCACGGAGACGGCGGGGCUGGCGGUGUCGUGCGCGUGGAAGGGGGAGUGGGACCGGCUCCCCGCGCUGGAGCGCGCGCGGCUGAAGGCGCGGCAGGGCGUGCGCACGCCCUGCAUGGCGGCCGUCGACGUGGUGGACGCCGCCACCGGCCGCCCCGUCCCGCGCGACGGCGCCGCCGUGGGCGAGAUCGUCCUCCGCGGCGGCUGCAUCAUGCUCGGCUACCUGAAAGACGCGGCGGCGACGGCCCAGGCGAUCCGCGGCGACGGGUGGUUCUACACGGGCGACGUCGGCGUGAUGCACCCGGACGGGUACCUGGAGAUCAAGGACCGGUCCAAGGACGUGAUCAUCAGCGGCGGGGAGAACAUCAGCAGCGUCGAGGUGGAGUCGAUCCUCUACGGGCACCCGGCGGUGGACGAGGCGGCGGUGGUCGCUCGCCC